CGGACGAACGCUGGCGGCGUGGAUUAGGCAUGCAAGUCGGACGGUAGGGCUUUAUCGUAAGAUAGAGUUUGAGAGUGGCGAACGGGUGAGUAACACGUAGGAAUCUACCCUUAAGACGGGGACAACCCAGGGAAACUUGGGCUAAUACCGGAUGUGAGCAACUUUUAGUUGUUUGAAAGGUGGCGUAAGCUGUCGCUUGGGGAUGAGCCUGCGUCCUAUUAGUUAGUUGGUGAGGUAACGGCUCACCUAGGCAAUGAUAGGUAGGCGGCCUUAACGGGUGGUCGCCCACAAUGGAACUGAAACACGGUCCAUACACCUACGGGUGGCAGCAGUAGGGAAUAUUGCAGAAUGGGCGCAAGCCUGAUGCAGCAACGCCGCGUGGGCGAUUGAAGGCCUUCGGGUUGUAAAGCCCUUUUGCGCGGGAAGAGGAAGGACGGUACCGCGCGAAUAAGCCUCGGCUAACUACGUG
rnacentral:rRNA from 1 species